GGGGUACGAGAGGGCCGCUACCACGCGAGUGGAUGCCAAUCCCCAAAACCUCUCUCAGUUCGGACUGGAGUCUGCAACCCGACUCCACGAAGCUGGAUUCGCUAGUAAUCGCGCAUCAGCCACGGCGCGGUGAAUACGUUCCCGGGCCUUGUACACACCGCCCGUCAAGCCAUGGGAGCCGGGGGUACCUGAAGUGCGUAACCGCGAGGAGCGCCCUAGGGUAAAACUGGUGACUGGGGCUAAGUCGUAACAAGGUACC
rnacentral:rRNA from 1 species